GGGCGUAUGGUCUAGAGGUAUGAUUCCUGCUUUGGGUUCUGAAACUCUUGUGCAGGAGGUCCCCGGUUCAAUCCCGGGUGCGCCCC